rnacentral:rRNA from 1 species
UACGGGGGGGGCAAGCGUUGUUCGGAAUUACUGGGCGUAAAGGGCUCGUAGGUGGCCAACUAAGUCAUGCGUGAAAUCCCUCGGCUUAACCUGGGAACUGCAUUUGUGACUGCAUGGCUAGAGUUUGGCAGAGGGGGGUAGAAUUCCACGUGUAGCAGUGAAAUGCGUAGAUAUGUGGAGGAACACCGAUGGCGAAGGCAGCCCCCUGGGUCAAGACUGACGCUCAUGCACGAAAGCGUGGGGAGCAAACAGG